GGCUAACACUAUAAUAUCCGAGUGCAUAUACCAACACAUCUAAGACAAUAGAAAACAUCUCAAGAGCGCCCUCAAGUGCCACAGCCCUGACUAUUCUACUCCCACCACCCGGGUCCCUCCCCCAUCCAAGCACACAGCAGCCCCAGCUUCACCCUGGCCCCACCCUAACGAGCACCGGAUGGCAAGCGUGUGAAAUACAUACCAGGCGUCCUAGUGCCAGAGAAUGGUGGUGGGGGGCCACCAACUGGCAUGGAGCAACUCCCCAGAAAAGCGUUCGGCGGAGGGGAUGUUUUAAUUUCAAAUAGAAAAUUCAGAUUUGCUAACCCAAGGACGAAGGAUGUUUCAGGCUAGAGGCUGGCUUUGCUCCGUGGCUUUGCUGAGGGUCCAUUAGUGCUGCAGGUACAGGCCCACCUGCCACUCCUACAUACCACAUCCCACCCCUGGGGCCUCAAAACUGGGUGACCUGUCACAGGACCUUGUAUGGCGCCAUCCACAGGCACCUCUGACUCACUUUUGCCGGAAUUAAGGCCCGGUACCCCGAGUGGCCUCGCCCCAGCGCGCCACCCAAAUAGCAUCCUUAUCGGAAUUCUCCGGAACCCACAGUGGCCUAACCAGAAGCAAAUGAUCAUCCACCCUCCACUGUCUGUCUUCAGGCGUCCAAGACCACAGAAUUGCGGCGUUGGUGCGAGAGAGGGCUGCACAUGGCCGGCAGAGGAAGGGGAAGAGCAUAGAAAUGCAGACAAAGGCAGGAUCAGCCACAGAAGCAGGACGGAGGGGGGCGCCGGGCUCGUCAUGCC